GCUCGCACCAGCACCUCUCCGCUCCCGCACCGCCCAGCAGCAGCCAUGGUGUCCACCGCCCGCAAAGCCGCACUCGCCGCUCUCAUGUCGCUGUCCGUGCUGCUGGCCACGUGCGACGCGCAGCUGCAGUUCCGCGACUCCAAGCCGAAGAGGGGCAUCGCCUCCCUGGGCUACGGACUACCAGGCGUGGCUGUACCAGCAGCGGGCUCCCUGGUGGCGCCGUACAACUACUUCUUCAG